GUGGAAGUAGCAAAGUGGUCAAAUGUGUUACGUUCAGGUCGUAAUCCCUCGGGUUCGCGGGUUCGAAUCCCGUCUUCCACU
rnacentral:tRNA from 1 species